UACGUAGGGUGCAAGCGUUGUCCGGAAUUAUUGGGCGUAAAGAGCUCGUAGGCGGUUUGUUGCGUCGGCUGUGAAAACCUGAGGCUCAACCUCAGGCCUGCAGUCGAUACGAGCAGACUAGAGUGUUGCAGGGGAGACUGGAAUUCCUGGUGUAGCGGUGAAAUGCGCAGAUAUCAGGAGGAACACCGGUGGCGAAGGCGGGUCUCUGGGCAACAACUGACGCUGAGGAGCGAAAGUGUGGGGAGCGAACAGG
rnacentral:rRNA from 1 species